GCGUUUCGCCUCUCGGCCCCAUCUCCCGGCCCCACCUCCCGCUUCCUGGACCCACGUAAGGGCCCCGCGUUCCACCGCGCAUCUUAGGUCUGCAUUCCAGCCCCUGCUUGCCACUCCCACAUCCCGGUUCCGCGUCCCACACCUGCAACCCAGCCCCGCAUUCCAAGCCCUCAUCCCACCCCGCGUCCCGACCCGCGUUCCCCGGCGGGAGGGAAAAGGAGGUUUGAUGCAAUGUUGCAGCAGAGUGCUUGCCAGCAAGCAUUUUAGAGCACAGUACAACCCAUCCCUGUGGGAGAUGAAUUUGCAUCUUUCGCAACAAGAGAGCACGUUGCUACUGCUGCUGUUGUGAAGAGCCCCUCAAGCAACUUUCAUCUCUGUGUGUUGAGGAAGAAGAAGGAAUUUAAGGCUCUGUGCAAAGUCCUCUCUAGAGGCAUUGUUCCAAAUCUGAGAAAUCAGCAGACCGAAAGCCAUCCAAGCCUUGUCUUCUACAGGCAUAUGUACCACUGGUUCCACUAAACCAGUAGGAGCAUGUUUUGUUUCAUUGCAAAGUCUGCUUUCUCUUGAGCUAACCCCUGGAAUUGAGUUCUUAGCCAGAGACCACCACCUGGGAAAUCUGCUAAAACAACAGCACAUGCUCUGCAUCCUCAUGAAACUGCCUGACAUUUAAGGUCACCACCAUGUUGAUGUUAAGCCUGCUGAGACUGCAGUGAGGACAGUAGGCGCCAACUUCUCUCCCUCUUACCUAUGCAAGGGAAGCAUAACAAGUCAUCCAACCACUACGGUGGAGUGACCCCCACUUUUCCACCUUCCUACUCAGUCUGAACAAACGUAAGUGAUGUUUUCACCAUCUCUGUGUUGUGGCUACACUCACCGUGGUGCAUGAAGAUACCAUGAACCUUACUGGGGACACAUUUUUGUCAGAACAGGCACUGGACAACCUGCUCGAGAUGAAUAGAAAUCAAGGCAUAGUAAAUGAAUUCCCUCCAGCUUGCAGCAGUUUCCAGGCACGGUAGGCAGUUCCAUGGCACACAUGUCAUACCAGCACUCAGUAACUCCCUUCAGCCUCAGCCAGAGGCCCCGUAGGUCCUUGGGGAAGUUCCUCUCAGCAUCCUCUGUAAGGCACAGCUGUGGGUAUGUUCACAGGGGCUCUUAUGCUUGAGCUCUCUUGCACUCUCCACUGCUCCUCCUUCUUGCACCAGCUCCCUGGACAGUUUGACACCCCUCCCCUGCAGCACAUUGAUGCUACAUCCUCUGUUUUCUCAAAAGAGUGUUGUUUAAAAAGUGUGUUACCACGGGCAAAACAGAUGCUGUACACCAGCUGGCAAAAGGUGCUUUUUGCUGGUAGAGCUUCUUUGCUUGCUGGAGUUGCAAAGUCCACGCAGUGCAGGUAUACCAGGGGAACUACACUAACAAGAAAGUUUUAGGCUGCCCCAAUAUACAGUGUCCAAAAAUAAAUCAUCCUCUGUUUUAUUCAGUUCUUCAGGUACAAAAGAAAUACAUGUUCAGCUCCUUUAGGAAUUAAACUAUUGACCUUUCUGAAUGCCAAAAAGCCUAGAAGUAGGCCAGAGAGAGAAUGAUUAUCAUAUUGUUGAAACAGAAGAACUCCCAAAUCUAAUAAAUGUUAGACCUGACACUAACUGGGAAAAAGGAGGAAGACAGGAUGCUGUUGUUAGAGCAGGAUCUGUUGGGGAUUGGUCGCACAGAUAAUCCAGGGUGGCAGAGGUUUCUCUGAUGUUUUUGAGGGCAUUUGACUUGUUUCAGGUGGCAUACAGAAAUAAGUCACAUCUUUACAACAGUUGUUUGCAAAAUGCAGGAAGCAGAAUUGACCCAAAUCAGGGGGGGUUUCUCCUCGGGGGGACCCUCAGAAAUGUGUUUCUGGUAGAGGUGCUCAGGCAUGUUUUCUCCUGGACACUGGAAGUCCCCACAAUGGUGGGACAGUGGGAGGGGUUCACAUAUGCUGCCGCCAGAGGACUUUGUCUCAGGGAGAGGUCUCAGCUCCAGGCCAGACAUUGCAGAGCCUCUCACUUACCCUGGCCCCUGCAAAGCCCCUUGAGAGCACAUGCAGACCCCCUCAUAGUUCACACCAGGUACACAGGCACCCCAUGACAGCACACAGGCCGGUCGCUUUCCCAGCCCACUGUGCAGGAGGCGUGCACUGGGCAUGACUUGAGGACACCACUUCUGCUAACUGCUUGGCAGCCUUUGAUCAUCCAUUUAAAGCCGAUUUCCUUCCCAAGGGCUUUGGAGACAAGAGGGCUCAGUCCAUACCUGGGGUUCAGGUGGUACAAGAACAUGCCUUUUAGUCGUGUGGGUGCCCUCACUGAAGAGGAUUCACCAACACUUUGGGAGCAGUAAACAGCCCCAGCUGCAGUGUUCUGCAGAGCCCAGGACAGACUGGAGUGCAGCUGUGUGUGGAGAUGAGGACCCAUGACAUUUUCAUUUUGGUAGUGUCCCAUGUACUGUACGUGUCCUCCAGGACUGAACCACAGCCAAGAGCUAGUCAUCAUUUAUUGAUCAGUGGCUUGUGUUUGCUCAACACUGUAUUGCCGGUAACCAGGUAACAUUAAUAAAAGUGACUUGACCUUG